CUCUUCGGGGAUGAUUAAACCGGCGCACGGGUGAGUAACACGUGAGUGACCUGCCUUUUAGACUGGAACAACUUACCGAAAGGUGAGCUAAUGCCGGAUGAGUUAUAUAAGUGCAUGUUUAUAUAGGAAAAGUUGGGGAGACCUGACGCUGAAAGAUGGACUCGCGUCCCAUCAGCUGGUUGGUAGGGUAAUGGCCUACCAAGGCGACGAUGGGUAGCCGGCCUGAGAGGGUGGCCGGCCACACUGGGACUGAGACACGGCCCAGACUCCUACGGGAGGCAGCAGUGGGGAAUUUUGCGCAAUGCUCGUAAGAGUGACGCAGCGACGCCGCGUGAAUGACGAAGGCCUUCGGGUCGUAAAGUUCUUUCGACAGGGAAGAAAAUGCCUAUAAGUAACUGUGUAUGUAUUGACGGUACCUGUAUAAGCAGCCCCGGCUAACUCCGUGCCAGCAGCCGCGGUAAUACGGAGGGGGCGAGCGUUGUUCGGAGUGACUGGGCGUAAAGAGCACGUAGGCGGUGUUGUAAGUCAUUAGUCAAAGACUAGAGCUCAACUUUAGUAAGGCUAGUGAUACUAUAAUACUAGAGUAUCAGAGAGGAUUGCAGAAUUCCUGGUGUAGCGGUGAAAUGCGUAGAUAUCAGGAGGAAUACCGUUAGCGAAGGCGGCAAUCUGGCUGGAAACUGACGCUGAGGUGCGAAAGCGUGGGUAGCAAACAGGAUUAGAUACCCUGGUAGUCCACGCUGUAAACGAUGGAUGCUAGGUGUUGGGCUUUUAAGUUCAGUGCCGCAGCAAACGCGAUAAGCAUCCCGCCU
rnacentral:rRNA from 1 species